GAGCGGGGUAGGAAGCAGCCUUGUAUUGCUUCUCGACGUACUCGGGGUAUUUGGCCUCUCCUUCGUAUUUCACAUCGGCGUUGUAUCCGUCCUUAUCGGCCUUGUAGGUGACGAUCUGGGUGCGGCCGUCGGGGAGAGCGACGCGGUAAGAUCCGGUGACGACGUUGUAGUCGGAUUUCUCGUUGUGCUCAAAGUCGUUGUAAGAUUCCUUAUCCUGGACGUCGUACCCGAAGCUGUAUGGCUGAGG